rnacentral:rRNA from 1 species
AUUGAACGCUGGCGGCAGGCCUAACACAUGCAAGUCGAGCGAGCGGCGGACGGGUGAGUAAUGUAUGGGGAUCUGCCUGAUGGCGGGGGAUAACUACUGGAAACGGUAGCUAAUCCCGCAUACCAUCAGAUGAACCCAUAUGGGAUUAGCUAGUAGGUAAGGUAACGGCUUACCUAGGCGACGAUCCCUAGCUGGUCUGAGAGGAUGAUCAGCCACACUGGGGAGGAGAAACGGCCCAGAUUCCUCCGGGAGGCAGCAGUGGGGAAUAUUGCACAAGGGGCGCAAGCCUGAUGCAGACAUGCCGCGUGUAUGAAGAAGGCCUGCGGGUUGUAAAGUACGUGUAGUCGGGAGGCGUUACCGACAGAAGAAGCACCGGCUAACUCCGUGCCAGCAGCCGCGGUAAUAC